CUGAGUCACGUGCUCAAACAACCCUUCUGUGGACCGAAAUUUAACCGUUGCCUCGGCGGGCGGUCCCCCGCUAAAACCCCACUACAUGUGGUGUAAGGUAGGGGACCAGACAGUCCGGUACGCCCUGAGGCGUCCGGCGCCAGCCGCUGGCCCUAAACAAUUAAACUCUAGUAACUUUACCUUCUGAGUUUUAAUACCAAAAAAUAAAUCA
rnacentral:misc_RNA from 1 species